rnacentral:lncRNA from 1 species
AGGGUAUGUUUAUUGCUGCUCAUUUCUCUUUUCUAGGGUUUAAUUUUGUUUCUCUUGGUGAAAACUAAUCUGCUUUGGGAGCUUGAUUUGUUGGGAAAAGAAAAGAUUAGAAAAGCUUUUAAGUUUUGAAGUUGUUUGACUUUAUACGUGUUUUAGAGAAACUAGAUAUUCGGUCUAUAGAAGCAGGUACUAGGUUCUCUUGAAAGUUUGCUGAUGCUUAUUGAAGCUGAGUGUUGGUUUAGUUGUUUGAAGUUCUGCUCAACAUAUAGAUUAUUGUGAGAGAUAAGUAAUGCUUGAGCAUCAAUCCUGAAAUUGGGGUCUUCUACUUCAAACUGUUCGAUGGUUUAAAUUUAUGAGUGUUUGAUUUUUUUUUUUUUUUUUUUUGGGUUUGUUGGGGAGGAGUUUGAAUUUGUUUACUGAAAAUGGAUGGCUCAAAAAACCGGCAUAACAAUGAUCAUUUGGGUGUGAAUAAGAUGGGGAAGAAUAUAAGGAAGAGUCCAUUGCACCAACCUAAUUUUGCGGCUAUUUGUUUUUUUUUUUUUUUUUUUUGGAGAGUUUGUUGGGGAGGAGUUUGAAUUUGUUUACUGAAAAUGGAUGGCUCAAAAAACCGGCAUAACAAUGAUCAUUUGGGUGUGAAUAAGAUGGGGAAGAAUAUAAGGAAGAGUCCAUUGCACCAACCUAAUUUUGCGGCUAAUAAUAAUGUUGCUAAUAGGCAACAACCUCAGCCGCAGGUUUACAACAUAAGCAAGAAUGAUUUUAGGAACAUUGUGCAGCAACUCACUGGUUCACCUUCACAAGAACCUUUGCCUAGGCCUCCACAAAAUCCU